rnacentral:rRNA from 1 species
UGGGGAAUAUUGCACAAUGGGCGAAAGCCUGAUGCAGCAACGCCGCGUGAGGGACGACGGCCUUCGGGUUGUAAACCUCUUUUAGCAAGGAAGAAGCGAAAGUGACGGUACUUGCAGAAAAAGCGCCGGCUAACUACGUGCCAGCAGCCGCGGUAAUACGUAGGGCGCAAGCGUUAUCCGGAAUUAUUGGGCGUAAAGAGCUCGUAGGCGGUUUGUCGCGUCUGCUGUGAAAACCCGAGGCUCAACCUCGGGCCUGCAGUGGGUACGGGCAGACUAGAGUGCGGUAGGGGAGAUUGGAACUCCUGGUGUAGCGGUGGAAUGCGCAGAUAUCAGGAAGAACACCGAUGGCGAAGGCAGAUCUCUGGGCCGUAACUGACGCUGAGGAGCGAAAGGGUGGGGAGCAAAACAGGCUUAGAUACCCUGGUAGUCCACCCCGUAAACGUUGGGAACUAGUUGUGGGUCCAUUCCACGGAUUCCGUGACGCAGCUAACGCAUUAAGUUCCCCGCCUGGGGAGUACGGCCGCAAGGCUAAAACUCAAAGGAAUUGACGGGGUCAUAGCUGUUUCCU